rnacentral:lncRNA from 1 species
GGUUGGCCUGAAAGCCCAAGUUCUAAAUGCUUCUUAUGUUUUUUUUUUUUUUUUGUUUCUUUUUUAACUGUAAUUCUGCAGUUUAUGGUAUAAAACAACAGCUAGAGCACAUGGAAGAGAGAAGAUAGGCAUGUUGGAUAGGCAUGGUGUAGUCAUGGACUCUAUUUUCAGUGAUUGACUCAAAAGAAUAUUUUCACACUUAGGACAUUUUUCAAACUAACUUUCAAAGUCUUAUACAGAGUAGUAAAUUAAUUGGUUUCUGAAAUGGAUGAUGAAAUGGCAGGAGCAUGUCGAGCAAACUGAAUGUCACCCACUAAUGGCCAGAAUAGCGAUUCCUUUCGGGAAAUUGCUGUUCUGGAGUUUACUUCUUUAAAAUUGCAGGUCUAGACUUCCCCCUUAAGGGGAUGAAGAUGGUAGUCUCAACUCUUCCCCAUACAACGUGGCAUUAAGGAGAAGUAUGUCUCAAGUGUAUUAGUAAGUGUCAGUAUCUGCCACUAUGGUCCACACUUGAGGUGUUAUAUAAUCUUUCCUUUUCAAUAACAUUUUAUAUUAAAAUAGGAAAAUAUUGCUCGUGCUUUCUGCCUCCAGCACAGCCUGCAUCUCAACACUUGGCCUUCUGUAAGGCCAAGUUUCCUAGUCACUUCUCUACAGGGAGCACAGCACAUUUGAAUUCUCAUAUGUGCUGAGAGCCAUGAGAAGCUGCUGGGGUCCAGGCUAACACGAUGACAAAGGUAUAAAUAUUCCCACACAGUGCCACUUUGUCAGUAGUCAUUCACUGGGCACUUAAAGUUGAAAACCAUUGCUCAAGAUGUACAGUCAUUUAUGCCCAGCUUGGAUUACGUUUCUAGGAGAGAAGAGGUAUAAGGUUUAGUUCAGACAUUUAGUAGUGUGGCUGAGAUACUAUCAUCUUUUUGGACAAGGAGCCAGUUUUGGGUUUAAUUUAUAUUUUCUUUAUACAGGUUUCUCUCAAGAAGAACUAUCGUUCGCUGCUUGUGAUUCGACUGCCAGUGCUACAAGUGCUCGAUGGAACAGCAGUAAAUGCAGAAGAGAGGUUGAAAGCUGACUAUCAGUGCCUAGAACAAGAUUUCCAAGCUGCAAAUUCCCCAAAGAACUCUGGAUUUCCUGCACUACCAGCAAAUUUUACAAGACAAACUCCUCUCAGAAUAGCAAAUGUGAAUCUGAAUGAAAACAUUAACCGUUUCUUUGAUUUUACAUUUGGCCGUGAACUUAAAGAACCUCUACUGAAUAAGUCAAAUAAAAGUAAGUCUAGGAUCCCAGGAAUUAGAACAUAUAAUCUUCAAAGCAUCCAUGUACAAAGAACUCUUAGGCAAGCCAAAGGAGCAUCAACUAAUCUAAACCGUUUGGUGCAUCACAGUGCUACUUCUAAGACCAGCCAACUAAAUCAGAGCAACCAGCAGGUGAGGCUCCUACCAGCCCUAAGCACAGCUUCUUUUUCUUUGCUUUGUUAAGGGGAGGUGUAUAGGUGUCAGAACCAAAGCACCUCUCUUCCUCCUUCCUUUGCCUGAUGGGGAAUUCCACAUCCACCAAAAUUUUUUUCUCUUUCUUCUUAUAAAACUUGCAAUGCAUCUAGGAAAGCAUCAUAGAAAACAAUUUAAAAUUUUACCAUUAGAACAAUGACUAUUAAAUGGAGUCAGACAUCUAACAAAGAUAAGCUCAUAUCUCCUAAGUCCAUGGUUAGUCCUGUU